rnacentral:lncRNA from 1 species
UGAUUACAAGUUUGAGGUUCUUCCUUAUCCCUAGCGUUGUAAUAUCCUGAUUUACAAUUGAAAGGAUCCCUCUUACAAUGAUAAGGUAAGGGUAGACUUUGGAGAAGUAAAGGUAGUCCUUAUUCUUGUAAACACAAGGGUUUACAGUAUUAAGGACCUCUUUUACAAUGUUUUGGACCUCCAUGUUCCAUAAACUUGUAAAGUG